GGGGUGCGUCGGAGGAAUUUGAUUCAUUCAGAUUUUUAUUUUUUUUUUAUUUCUAACAUCCUCUCUUUAUUACUAAUUAGUCUAUUCCUUCUCUUAUUUGGAUAAGUUCAAAAAUAGUAAGAACAAGUUCAAUUUUAGGACAAGAGCCUAGCAAGAGAAUUAAGGAAGACAAUGAGAGAAGAAAGGUAGGGAUUGGAAGGCUAG
rnacentral:lncRNA from 1 species